GAUCAUGGCUCAGGAUGAACGCUGGCGGCGUGCCUAAUACAUGUAAGUCGAACGCGAGCACUUGUGCUCGAGUGGCGAACGGGUGAGUAAUACAUAAGUAACCUGCCCUAGACAGGGGGAUAACUAUUGGAAACGAUAGCUAAGACCGCAUAGGUACGGACACUGCAUGGUGACCGUAUUAAAAGUGCCUCAAAGCACUGGUAGAGGAUGGACUUAUGGCGCAUUAGCUGGUUGG
rnacentral:rRNA from 1 species